AGCGGUAACAGGUCCAGCUUGCUGGAUGCUGACGAGCGGCGGACGGGUGAGUAACGCAUAGGAAUCUACCCGGUAGUGGGGGAUAACCUGGGGAAACCCAGGCUAAUACCGCAUACGUCCUACGGGAGAAAGGGGGCUUUGGCUCCCGCUAUUGGAUGAGCCUAUGCCGGAUUAGCUGGUUGGUGAGGUAAUGGCUCACCAAGGCGACGAUCCGUAGCUGGUCUGAGAGGAUGAUCAGCCACAUCGGGACUGAGACACGGCCCGAACUCCUACGGGAGGCAGCAGUGGGGAAUAUUGGACAAUGGGGGCAACCCUGAUCCAGCCAUGCCGCGUGUGUGAAGAAGGCCCUCGGGUUGUAAAGCACUUUCAGCGAGGAAGAACGCCUGUCGGUUAAUACCCGGCAGGAAAGACAUCACUCGCAGAAGAAGCACCGGCUAACUCCGUGCCAGCAGCCGCGGUAAUACGGAGGGUGCAAGCGUUAAUCGGAAUUACUGGGCGUAAAGCGCGCGUAGGUGGCUUGAUAAGCCGGUUGUGAAAGCCCCGGGCUCAACCUGGGAACGGCAUCCGGAACUAUUAGGCUAGAGUGCAGGAGAGGAAGGUAGAAUUCCCGGUGUAGCGGUGAAAUGCGUAGAGAUCGGGAGGAAUACCAGUGGCGAAGGCGGCCUUCUGGACUGACACUGACACUGAGGUGCGAAAGCGUGGGUAGCAAACAGGAUUAGAUACCCUGGUAGUCCACGCCGUAAACGAUGUCGACCAGCCGUUGGGUGCCUAGCGCACUUUGUGGCGAAGUUAACGCGAUA
rnacentral:rRNA from 1 species